CUGGUGAGUGUGUAUUCUUGUUCAAAGGAGGUCACGGGCCAAUCAGCUCGGGUUUUUUUUCCUCUAUAGAGAUGUUCCCAUUGCUAAGUUCAAAUGAGUCAAACCGGAAGAUAGCCAUUGCCAAUAUGUGUGUAAGUAGGUGUGGGACAAGACAUAGCCCAGCACCUAUAAUACCAUAAAGCAGCUCCUUGCUAGCAGCUCCCCAAAUCGCGGGAGCUCUAAGGCGUCCUCGCCGAGCAGGGAGCCAGGCUUUCCCAAAGCAAACUUACAUAAGCAGCCGCAGCCGCCUCCUUAUUCCGGAGCAGCUGCGACAAUGGCGGCCACACCACUUCCCUGUUGCGACCGCACAACUUGGGAGUGGGGAAUCCGGGACCCCGCGCAAGACCUGGGGCGCAGUCCGCGCGUGGGGAGCCCACACUCGCAUUUCGAAGCCCGUGAUCAGCCGGGUGCAACGAGCCCUCAGCAUUCUUUCCUAAACAAAAGCUCCCCUGAGCGGUGCCCGCCAGCGACAGGCCACCUUCCCUUCCACCAUCCGCCACUUCUCCAGGUCGCGGCGCGGGCGCGAGGCUCUUCUUUGGCCCGCAGCAGCCCCGGCGGCGCGACAAGCUCGGGAGCGGGCAUGCGGCCGGUUCCGCAGCCCCGCGCCGCGCCGCGCCCUGCUCCGCCCGCGAGCCCGGAGCUCGCGCCCCGCGCACUCCGCGGCCUGCGCGUCUGGUCCUCCCGCGCCCUCCCGCGGCCAGGGGCGGGGGCGGCGCGCGGCCGGCUCCCCGGAGCUCCGCGGACGCAGGCGGGGAGCGUGCGCGGGGGUCCCGUCUGCUCUGGAGGGUAUGGCUGCGAGGGGCGGCGCCCCGCGGGCCGCGCUCGGGCCCGGCUCGGCCGUCCCCACCCCCACCGCGGUGCACUGCGGCGCGGAGAGCCGGGCGGCCAUGAACUCGGCCGCGGAGCGCGCGCGCGGGCCGCCGCCUGGCCUCUCCCCACCCGCUCGCUGGCCUGCGCGGUCCCCGGGGCGCUCGGCCCCCACGCCCAACCGCGGCCCACGCCCGAUCCCGCUCGCACCGCGCUGCGCCGCCACAUCCUGCAGCUGGCUGCUGCCCGAGCUCGGCGGGAACGCGCCUCCUCUCAGCCGCCCCGCCGCGCCCGCCGCCGGCUGCCCCCGCGUCCCCGCGCCCGCCCCGGCCCUUUCCGCACCCGGCCCGCGCUUACCUGCAGCUUGGCACAGCUACAGACGCUCGCCGUGGGCUCCCGCGUUCGGCAGCGCGCAAGCCAGGACGGGAUGGAGUGGGGGCACGGUGCAUCCCUCUCUAGACAUGUUCCAGAACUAGGUUGCACUUGAUGCUUCCAUGGAGAGAUCAGAUGGGCUGGCAAUGUCAGCACAUCCAUGAACCCUCAGGUCACCGCUUCUUCUGCUGCCUUGAAUGACAAACGUCUUAGAGGAUGCGACCAGUUGCAAACGAACUGAACCUAGCCAACUCCAGAAACGACUGACAAGCCUCAAGGACAGAACAAUUACUGGAUUCUUGGCUUUUUGUUAGUGGACAGGCAUUGGACUAGCUGGACCACAGUCUGUAUAAACAUAGAUACCUGCAGAUGUGAAAACUAGGACUCGGCUUCUUAGCAGCAGAG
ensembl:lncRNA